rnacentral:rRNA from 1 species
GAUGAACGCUGGCGGCGUGCCUAAUACAUGCAAGUCGAGCGAACAGAUGAGGAGCUUGCUCCUCUGACGUUAGCGGCGGACGGGUGAGUAACACGUGGAUAACCUACCUAUAAGACUGGGAUAACUUCGGGAAACCGGAGCUAAUACCGGAUAAUAUAUUGAACCGCAUGGUUCAAUAGUGAAAGACGGUUUUGCUGUCACUUAUAGAUGGAUCCGCGCCGCAUUAGCUAGUUGGUAAGGUAACGGCUUACCAAGGCAACGAUGCGUAGCCGACCUGAGAGGGUGAUCGGCCACACUGGAACUGAGACACGGUCCAGACUCCUACGGGAGGCAGCAGUAGGGAAUCUUCCGCAAUGGGCGAAAGCCUGACGGAGCAACGCCGCGUGAGUGAUGAAGGUCUUCGGAUCGUAAAACUCUGUUAUAGGGAAGAACAAAUGUGUAAGUAACUAUGCACGUCUUGACGGUACCUAAUCAGAAAGCCACGGCUAACUACGUG